rnacentral:lncRNA from 1 species
GAUCUUAUAUUUUACUGGGAGGAGGAAGAAGUGGAGAAAGAGGGGAAGGGAAAAACAAAAGGGGAGAGGUAAACUUGAGAGGCUGUUAAAUAUACUUAGAUUAAGAAACUUAUCUUAUUGUAGAAAUGCGUGGCAUGGGAGAAAUGGGAAUUUGAGAGAUGCUCUGGUAAGACAAGGCACCUAAGAAGGCAUUUCCAUUGGAAAAUCUAGCCGCCCUCUUUGAAGGGUUUUGCGGUGCAGUUUCUGCAGGCAUCAAAGGUUUUGUGUUGGCCAUUUUUGCAGAGGUGACCACAGGCUUGAUGUCCCUACUACUUACAUGGAAUUUACACAAGUUCAGAUCUUUGAGGAAGAAUGGACGAUACAAGAGUUGAAUUCAAGUGAAUGUCACAGGUCAAAGCAAACUAAAUACAAAGAGAGUCUUAAUUAGAAGGGAUUUCAAUAUGAAACUAGCAAGUGGUCUUAAAAUUAAUGUUACUGCAGUCAUGAAUGUAUUGUGGUAAUCCUUGA